AAAAUGCGAUACUUGGUGUGAAUUGCAGAAUCCCGUGAACCAUCGAGUUUUGAACGCAAGUUGCGCCCGAAGCCAUCCGGCUGAGGGCACGCCUGCCUGGGCGUCACGCAUCGCGUCGCUCCCCACCAUACCUCCCCAACGGGUUGGCAUGGUGUUGGGGGCGGAUAAUGGCCUCCCGUGCUUGUGUUUCGGUUGGCCUAAAUAAGAGUUCCCUUCGGCGGACACACGACUAGUGGUGGUUGAAUAGACCCUCGUCUUUUGUUGCGUGUCGUGAGCUGUAAGGGUAGCCCUCAUCAAAGACCCCAUUGUAUCGUCUUCGGAUGAUGCUUCGACCGCGACCCCAGGUCAGGCGGGACUACCCGCUGAGUUUAAGC
rnacentral:misc_RNA from 1 species